AUACGUAGGGAGCGAGCGUUGUCCGGAAUUACUGGGUGUAAAGGGUGCGUAGGCGGGACUGCAAGUCAGAUGUGAAAUGCCGGGGCUCCACCCCGGAGCUGCAUUUGAAACUGUGGUUCUUGAGUGAGGUAGAGGGAAGCGGAAUUCCUAGUGUAGCGGUGAAAUGCGUAGAUAUUAGGAGGAACAUCGGUGGCGAAGGCGGCUUACUGGGCCUUUACUGACGCUGAGGCACGAAAGCGUGGGGAGCAAACAGGAUUAGAUACCCUGGUAGUCCACGCUGUAAACGAUGAUGACUAGGUGUGGGGGGACUGAACCCUUCCGUGCCGCAGUUAACACAAUAAGUCAUCCACCUGGGGAGUACGGCCGCAAGGUUGAAACUCAAAUGAAUUGGCGGGG
rnacentral:rRNA from 1 species